AUACGGAAGGUCCGGGCGUUAUCCGGAUUUAUUGGGUUUAAAGGGAGCGCAGGCGGAGAUGCAAGCGUGACGUCAAAUUUCGGGGCUCAACCCCGUCUCGCGUCGCGAACUGCGUCCCUUGGUUGCGGGAAGGGGAGGCGGAACUCGUGGUGUAGCGGUGAAAUGCAUAGAUAUCACGAAGAACUCCGAUCGCGAAGGCAGCCUUCCGGCCCGUCAACGACGCUCAUGCUCGAAGGUGCGGGUAUCAAACAGGAUUAGAUACCCUGGUAGUCCGCACAGUAAACGAUGGACACCCGCGGUUUGGCCUAUAUGGCUGAGCCGCCAAGCGAAAGCGUUAAGUGUCCCACCUGGGGAGUACGGUCGCAAGGCUGAAACUCAAAUGAAUUGGCGGGG
rnacentral:rRNA from 1 species